rnacentral:rRNA from 1 species
UGGGGAAUUUUGCACAAUGGGGGAAACCCUGAUGCAGCGACGCCGCGUGAUUUAGAAGGCCUUCGGGUUGUAAAAAUCUUUUGUAUGGGAAGAAAAUGACAGUACCAUACGGAUAAGGACCGGCUAAUUACGUGCCAGCAGCCGCGGUAAUACGUAAGGUCCGAGCGUUGUCCGGAAUCAUUGGGCGUAAAGGGUACGUAGGCGGAUAAGCAAGUUAGAAGUGAAAUCCUAUAGCUCAACUAUAGUAAGCUUUUAAAACUGCUCAUCUUGAGGUAUGGAAGGGAAAGUGGAAUUCCUAGUGUAGCGGUGAAAUGCGCAGAUAUUAGGAGGAAUACCGGUGGCGAAGGCGACUUUCUGGCCAUAAACUGACGCUGAGGUACGAAAGCGUGGGUAGCAAACAGG